UUUCGCCGUUUUGAUCCGUCGAUCUUCGAUGGCAGUUGCACUGAGGCCUGGGUUGUUGAGGGCUGGGUCAGUGCGAUGGAGAAGCUAUUUGAGGAUCUAUUUGUCUGAGAGAGAGAGCAGGUACAUCUGGGAGUUCACUGUUUGUCAGGCGAUGAUCAUGCCUGGUGGAGGAGGAUGAGGUGAGAUUAUGGAUUGGUGCCGCUACAGAUGAAGUGGGACGAGUUUUGUGGAAUGCUGUUCGGGAUGUAUUUUUCCAACAGCGUGAAACAGAAGCUCGAAGAGGAUUUGAAGAAGAUCCAGCAGGGCGAGUGGACAGUUCAGG
rnacentral:lncRNA from 1 species